rnacentral:misc_RNA from 1 species
ACAGUCCCCUGCAUACCCCUCUUCCUUUAUCAAUAAAGAAAUUGUACUAGCCCAGUGCAUUAUUUAUUAAACUUGAUUUGCAUGUACUAGUUGACUGGAUUUUUGCUUGCUCCACAUGUACACUUACACUGGAAGAAAAGCAGAGGGGUGGACAGACAGGAAGAUGAACUCUUUGUGGGUGAUAUACUAUUUGUGGAUAAUAAAAGACUUCAUGCUGACAUUAUACUUUUACAAAGGUCAUAGCUACAUUAUUGGACUAGACAUUGUGUAUAAUUUGUGUGCCAAUUUUACUUUAUUUUUGUUGUGAAGUUGUUUUCUCUAAUUCAUUCAUAAAAGAACUAAUACAGCAUUUAUACAAGAGAUUCCUAACUAACUAGGAAUAUAAA